UAUGUACUCCCUCCGUUUGGAAUUACUUGUCUCGGAAAUGGAUGUAUCUAGAAUUAAAAUACGUCUAGAUACAUCCGUUUCUGCGACAAGUAAUUCCGAACGGAGGGAGUAUGGA
rnacentral:pre_miRNA from 1 species